AAAAUCACCACUCCUUUUUCAUCUCUCAAAUCCAACCGUUUAUAAUUUUUUCACAAUCGUCCGAUAAACCAAAGAUUCCACUAUAUAAACUUUCCUUCUCUCCUCACCCGCCUCAUCUUUCAUGCCCGCUAUUAUUCUCUCUCUCACAUAAGAAGCGUUUCUCUUGGAUCUGUUCCUCCCUAUUAGACCAGGCCGUUUCUUCUUCCACGUUUCGAUUAUGGCAUUUUGCCGUUUCGAUCACCGUUCUCCAAUAUCAGAUUCCACUAUUCAAACGUUUCGAUUACCGUUUCUUAUUCGCUUUAGAUCCACAGAGUUCGGAUGAAGGUACCACAAAGAAGCUUUAGAUUCCACUAUUCAAACGUUUUGUUUGGUAUAUCUGCUUCUUUGAAUCUUGAAUCGACGCAACUCUUGUUUUUCCAUUCAGUUCGUCACGACCGUUACGAAUCUCAAUCUCAGCGAUUCAAUUUCGAUGAAUAGCAUAUAAAUUUCUUGACCAGAGUAUUUUCAAGAAAUGGUGACAUGGCUGAGGAUCUUUGAUUAUAACGCAAGGAUUAUACUUUCGGGACCAAUUCAAUUCGACGAAUAGCACAUAUAUUUCUUCACCAGAGUAUUUUCAAGAAAUGGUGACGUGUCCGAGGAUCAGAUCGUUGGCGAUGGAUUUUGAUUAUCGCACAAGGAUUUACUUGCGGGGACCGUUGAUUGUGAAGAUAAAAUAGACAGGCUGGUUGGUUUGUAUAAGCUUAUGAGAGAAGUUUGGCAUAUAUGUUGUGUUGUUUAUAUCAAUCAAUCAAUCAAUCAAUCUGAUGGAGAGAAGCGAGAGAGGUAUAAUAUAAUAUGUGUUGUUAUCAAUCGACCUUUGCCAUGACGGGUGCGCUUGCAUGGCAGGUCAAAACCACACUUAAUAAAAUUUUCUAUUUUUUGGGUUUUGGAGGGAGACGGCCCAGCCCUUUUUUUCCAUUUUGGGCUUUUGGGCCGGGCUCCUCCCUUGCGUGCGUGUUUCUCUCUCUCUUUUUUUUUUUUUUUUUUUAAUUAAUCUCUCUCUCAAAAGUCAAAAGACUCAAAACGCAAAAAACUAGCAUACAUUACCCUAUACAGACAAGCGUGGCCAGAAUAGCUGCUCUUUAUGCUGCCCAUCCAAAAGGUUCAUUAACACAAAAGGUAAUUGCAAAUUUGCAAUAUUUAAUUUCCAAUCUAUUACAAUUUACAGCCCAAUUAUUUGAGCAAGCUUAAUAAUUUUGAGCAUAUUAUCAGCAUGAAAGAACACAUAAAUUUUCAACUACAAUAUGCUCCACAACGUGCUUCAUUUUAUUUUAAAAAAUAAGGAUAUGCUAUUCCUUUUAUUCAUAAUCGUGGAUCCAACUGGAGGUGGCAUGCAUAGAGAAAUAUAAUAAAUAAUAUCAGCAACUAAGCAAAUGAGUUGGUACUUUGCAUUUUUAUUUACCAAAUGUUAGCACAAUGCCACAAGCUAUUACUCCCAUAAUUUUCAUUCUACCACACAAUUACAAUUGGUUACUUACAAUUGCAUAUGAAUGGGGAGGAAUCAUAUUUCGGACUAGAAUUAUUCAAUGCCUUUGUGCGCUGGUCAUUUAUUAUUUUACAAGUCGUGUUUGGACUUAAUGCUUUAUAUGUUCCUCAUUUAGGAUUCGAGUGUUCAGUACAGUUUGUACUCAACUUCUGUAUCUGUUUAUCAAUUGUGGGGUGUAAAGCUUUGUAUUACAUAAUGUAACCGUAUAAAGUGGCGUGCUCUCAAGUUGCUUAACCAGAAUCACUGCUGUUCAAGUUCUGGGCCUAGUUGUGGAUUCUUCAUAUGUAUGGUUGAUCAAUUCUAUGACUUGCAGAAAUCUGCUGCUUUGACUCCUAACUUGCCCGGACGUUUUAUGCUAGCUAUAACAGCGAAGGGAAUAUGUCUCUUGAGACAGCUCGUAUUAUGGUGUAUUCUGGUCAGUUCUGCUGUGGAGUGCCUCUUUGUACUUGUGUAACUGUGUUGGGGCUGAAGUCUUUGUUAAUGUAGAUUUUCCCUUUGAAAUUCCUCAAGGCGUUUGUUUGUUGUGAAGCAAAUUGCUUUAGCUUCCAGAAUUAUGAUGCCUUUUCAAAGUUGCUCUAGUUCACGAACCAGGAUAAAGAUAACCGUUUGUUAUUCCAAUGUCAUGUCAUUUAGCUCGACACUUUUGCUGGUAUUUUCUAGCUUCCUGUAAUAUGUUACUUUAUUUGUCAUUGCUUGAAUGUUAAAAAGUAAAUGUCUCUCUACCCAUCAUAUUUUGGGUUGUUGUUAUUGUUGA